rnacentral:rRNA from 1 species
UACGUGAGGGCAGCGUGUCGGAUCGAUUGGUGCGUAAAGGGCGCGUAGGUGGCGGGACAAGCGUGCGGUGAAGCUCGGGGCUCAACCCCGCGUCGGCCGUGCGAACUGUUUUGCUUGAGCACUGUAGAGGCAGGCGGAAUUCCGGGUGUAGCGGUGGAAUGCGUAGAGAUCCGGAAGAACACCGGUGGCGAAGGCGGCCUGCUGGGCAGUAGCUGACACUGAGGCGCGACAGCGUGGGGAGCAAACAGG